rnacentral:rRNA from 1 species
ACCUACGGCCAUACCACCCUGAACACACCCAAUCUCAUUUGAUCUCGGAAGCUAGGCAGGGUCGGGCCUGGUUAGUACUUGAUGGAAGAAUAGCUAUUCCUGCUCACUUCUAGUUU